UACGUAGGUGGCAAGCGUUGUCCGGAUUUACUGGGCGUAAAGAGCGCGCAGGCGGUCGUUCAAGUCGCGUGUGAAAGCCCCCGGCUCAACUGGGGAGGGUCACGCGAUACUGAUCGACUGGAAGGCAGGAGAGGGUAGUGGAAUUCCCGGUGUAGUGGUGAAAUGCGUAGAUAUCGGGAGGAACACCGGUGGCGAAGGCGGUUUUCUAUCUUAUUCCUGACGCUAAUGCGCGAAAGCAAGGGGAUCAAACAGG
rnacentral:rRNA from 1 species